CCUACGGGAGGCAGCAGUGGGGAAUAUUGGGCAAUGGGCGCAAGCCUGACCCAGCAACGCCGCGUGAAGGAAGAAGGCUUUCGGGUUGUAAACUUCUUUUCUCAGGGACGAAGCAAGUGACGGUACCUGAGGAAUAAGCCACGACUAACUACGUGCCAGCAGCCGCGGUAAUACGUAGGUGGCAAGCGUUAUCCGGAUUUACUGGGUGUAAAGGUCGUGUAGGCGGGAAGGCAAGUCAGAUGUGAAAACCAUGGGCUCAACCUGUGGCCUGAAUUUGAAACUGUUUUUCUUGAGUACGGGGGAGGCAGACGGAAUUCAUAGGGUAGCGGUGAAAGGCGUAGAUAUUAGGAGGAACACCAGGGGGGAAGGCGGUCUGCUGGACAGCAACUGACGCUGAGGCGCGAAAGCGUGGGGAGCAAACAGGAUUAGAUUCCCCAGUAGUC
rnacentral:rRNA from 1 species